GAGGCUUUAUCUUAAUUAAAGUAUCUGAUUUGCAUUCAGAAGAUAUAGGUUAAUGUCCUAUAAGUCUUA
rnacentral:tRNA from 2 species